rnacentral:rRNA from 1 species
AGUCAUAUGCUUGUCUCAAAGAUUAAGCCAUGCAUGUCUCAGUACAAGCCAAAUUAAGGUGAAACCGCGAAAGGCUCAUUAAAUCAGUUAUGGUUCCUUAGAUCGUACACACAUUUACUUGGAUAACUGUGGUAAUUCUAGAGCUAAUACAUGCCAACAGAACUCUGACCGGGAACGGAAAGAGUGCUUUUAUUAGAUCAAAACCAAUCGGUGGCGAGCUUGCUCGUCAUCGUACAACUUGGUGACUCUGAAUAACUUUUGCUGAUCGCACGGUCUCGCACCGGCGACGCAUCUUUCAAAUGUCUGCCUUAUCAACUGUCGAUGGUAGGUUCUGCGCCUACCAUGGUUGUAACGGGUAACGGGGAAUCAGGGUUCGAUUCCGGAGAGGGAGCCUGAGAAACGGCUACCACAUCCAAGGAAGGCAGCAGGCGCGCAAAUUACCCACUCCCGGCACGGGGAGGUAGUGACGAAAAAUAACGAUACGGGACUCAUCCGAGGCCCCGUAAUCGGAAUGAGUACACUCUAAAGCCUUUAACGAGGAUCAAUUGGAGGGAAAGUCUGGUGCCAGCAGCCGCGGUAAUUCCAGCUCCAAUAGCGUAU